rnacentral:rRNA from 1 species
CUACAGGCUUAACACAUGCAAGUCGAGGGGCAGCAUGGUCUUAGCUUGCUAAGACUGAUGGCGACCGGCGCACGGGUGAGUAACACGUAUCCAACCCGCCGUCUACUCUUGGACAGCCUUCUGAAAGGAAGAUUAAUACAAGAUGGCAUCAUGAGUCCGCAUGUUCACAUGAUUAAAGGUAUUCCGGUAGACGAUGGGGAUGCGUUCCAUUAGAUAGUAGGCGGGGUAACGGCCCACCUAGUCUUCGAUGGAUAGGGGUUCUGAGAGGAAGGUCCCCCACAUUGGAACUGAGACACGGUCCAAACUCCUACGGGAGGCAGCAGUGAGGAAUAUUGGUCAAUGGGCGAGAGCCUGAACCAGCCAAGUAGCGUGAAGGAUGACUGCCCUAUGGGUUGUAAACUUCUUUUAUAAAGGAAUAAAGUCGGGUAUGGAUACCCGUUUGCAUGUACUUUAUGAAUAAGGAUCGGCUAACUCCGUGCCAGCAGCCGCGGUAAUACGGAGGAUCCGAGCGUUAUCCGGAUUUAUUGGGUUUAAAGGGAGCGUAGAUGGAUGUUUAAGUCAGUUGUGAAAGUUUGCGGCUCAACCGUAAAAUUGCAGUUGAUACUGGAUAUCUUGAGUGCAGUUGAGGCAGGCGGAAUUCGUGGUGUAGCGGUGAAAUGCUUAGAUAUCACGAAGAACUCCGAUUGCGAAGGCAGCCUGCUAAGCUGCAACUGACAUUGAGGCUCGAAAGUGUGGGUAUCAAACAGGAUUAGAUACCCUGGUAGUCCACACGGUAAACGAUGAAUACUCGCUGUUUGCGAUAUACGGCAAGCGGCCAAGCGAAAGCGUUAAGUAUUCCACCUGGGGAGUACGCCGGCAACGGUGAAACUCAAAGGAAUUGACGGGGGCCCGCACAAGCGGAGGAACAUGUGGUUUAAUUCGAUGAUACGCGAGGAACCUUACCCGGGCUUAAAUUGCAGAUGAAUUACGGUGAAAGCCGUAAGCCGCAAGGCAUCUGUGAAGGUGCUGCAUGGUUGUCGUCAGCUCGUGCCGUGAGGUGUCGGCUUAAGUGCCAUAACGAGCGCAACCCUUGUUGUCAGUUACUAACAGGUUCCGCUGAGGACUCUGACAAGACUGCCAUCGUAAGAUGUGAGGAAGGUGGGGAUGACGUCAAAUCAGCACGGCCCUUACGUCCGGGGCUACACACGUGUUACAAUGGGGGGUACAGAGGGCCGCUACCACGCGAGUGGAUGCCAAUCCCAAAAACCUCUCUCAGUUCGGACUGGAGUCUGCAACCCGACUCCACGAAGCUGGAUUCGCUAGUAAUCGCGCAUCAGCCACGGCGCGGUGAAUACGUUCCCGGGCCUUGUACACACCGCCCGUCAAGCCAUGGGAGCCGGGGGUACCUGAAGUGCGUAACCGCGAGGAGCGCCCUAGGGUAAAACUGGUGACUGGGGCUAAGUCAUAACA